rnacentral:rRNA from 1 species
AAUGGUGAUAUAAAUAGAAAAAUAAAAUUAAUUUUCCCGAAAAUAAAAGAUCUACUUAUUUACACUUUCUUAGAAAUGUUUAAUUUUAAUGUUGCAUAAUUAUAAUAAAAUAGAUAGGUAGUUGCGAAACGCAUACAAUUUUAUUGAUAUCUGGAUUAAAAAGAAAUAUAUUUAGUAUACAAGACAGUCUAAAAUCGAUAAGGAUUUUUAAUUAGUGAAUAAUUAAUUUUAAGUUGACUAUCAGUUAGUAGAACUAACCAAUAAUUAAUUUUAAAAUAGUAUAAAUUUUAUAAAAAAUCACAUAAAUCUUUUUACUUAAGUUUAAACUUUAAAAAUUUGUUGAUAAUGUAUCAAUUAGUAGUUAAAUUAUAAGUAUAAGUAAGGAACUCGACAAAAAUACUAUACGACUGUUUAUCAAAAACAUAACCUAAAGUAUAUUUUUAAGGUGAAGUCCGCCCAGUGAAAAUUUUAACGGCCGCAGUACUUUGACUGUGCAAAGGUAGCAUAAUAACUUGGCUUUUAAUUGGAGUCUGGAAUGAGAGAAAAUACGUAUAAAAAUUGUCUCACAAAUAUUAUAUUAAAAUUAUUUUAAGAAGUGAAAAUACUUCUAUAAUUAACAAAAGACGAGAAGACCCUUAGAAUUUUUACUAGAAGUAUUAAUUGUUUACUAAAGUUUUAGUUGGGGCAACUCUAUUUCAAACUAAAUAAAUAGUUAAAAAUAAAAUAUAUACCGAUUUUAUAUAAAAAAAUAAAUUACCUAAGGGAUAACAGCAUAAUUCUAAUUGUUGAGAUUGUGACCUCGAUGUUGGACUAGGUGUUGUUAAAGCUAAACGUUUUUGCAUAUAUUGUUCUGUUCGAACUUAUUUACCUACAUGAUCUGAGUUCAGACCGGCGUAAGCCAGGUCAGUUUCUAUCUUUUUUGUAGUAUAAGUUAGUACGAA